rnacentral:miRNA from 1 species
UGUGUCACUGGGGAUAGGCUUUG